rnacentral:rRNA from 1 species
UACGUAGGUGGCAAGCGUUGUCCGGAAUUAUUGGGCGUAAAGCGCGCGCAGGUGGUUUCUUAAGUCUGAUGUGAAAGCCCGCGGCUCAACCGUGGAGGGUCAUUGGAAACUGGGGAACUUGAGUGCAGAAGAGGAAAGUGGAAUUCCAAGUGUAGCGGUGAAAUGCGUAGAGAUUUGGAGGAACACCAGUGGCGAAGGCGACUUUCUGGUCUGUAACUGACACUGAGGCGCGAAAGCGUGGGGAGCGAACAGG